rnacentral:rRNA from 1 species
CUACGUGCCAGCAGCCGCGGUAAUACGUAGGGUGCGAGCGUUAAUCGGAAUUACUGGGCGUAAAGCGGGCGCAGACGGUUACUUAAGCAGGAUGUGAAAUCCCCGGGCUCAACCUGGGAACUGCGUUCUGAACUGGGUGACUAGAGUGUGUCAGAGGGAGGUAGAAUUCCACGUGUAGCAGUGAAAUGCGUAGAGAUGUGGAGGAAUACCGAUGGCGAAGGCAGCCUCCUGGGAUAACACUGACGUUCAUGCCCGAAAGCGUGGGUAGCAAACAGGAUUAGAUACCCUGGUAGUCCACGCCCUAAACGAUGUCGAUUAGCUGUUGGGCAGCAUGACUGCUUAGUAGCGAAGCUAACGCGUGAAAUCGACCGCCUGGGGAGUACGGUCGCAAGAUUAAAACUCAAAGGAAUUGACGGGGACCCGCACAAGCGGUGGAUGAUGUGGAUUAAUUCGAUGCAACGCGAAGAACCUUACCUGGUCUUGACAUCCCUCUGACCGCUCUAGAGAUAGAGCUUUC